CAGUCGCCGCGGGAAUACGAAGGGGGCUAGCGUUGUUCGGAUUUACUGGGCGUAAAGCGCACGUAGGCGGAUGAUUAAGUCAGGGGUGAAAUCCCGAGGCUCAACCUCGGAACUGCCUUUGAUACUGGUCAUCUUGAGUCCGGGAGAGGUGAGUGGAACUGCGAGUGUAGAGGUGAAAUUCGUAGAUAUUCGCAAGAACACCAGUGGCGAAGGCGGCUCACUGGCCCGGUACUGACGCUGAGGUGCGAAAGCGUGGAGAGCAAACAGGAUUAGAUACCCCCGUAGUCCCUGUCUCUUAUAC
rnacentral:rRNA from 1 species